GGUUCCAUAGUGUAGUGGUUAGCACAUCUACCUUACACUCAGAAGGUCCUGGGUUCGCAUCCCAGGUGGAGCCA
rnacentral:tRNA from 1 species